ACACCGGCAGCUCUAGUGGUAGCAGUUUUUAUUGGGCCUAAAGCGUCCGUAGCCGGUUUAAUAAGUCUCUGGUGAAAUCCUGUAGCUUAACUGUGGGAAUUGCUGGAGAUACUAUUAGACUUGAGACCGGGAGAGGUUAGAGGUACUCCCAGGGUAGAGGUGAAAUUCUGUAAUCCUGGGAGGACCGCCUGUUGCGAAGGCGUCUAACUGGGGCGGUUCUGACGGUGAGGGACGAAAGUUAGGGGCGCGAACCGGAUUAGAGACCCGGGUAGUCCUAACCGUAAACGAUGCGGACUUGGUGUUGGGGUGGCUUUGAGCUGCUCCAGUGCCGAAGGGAAGGUGUUAAGUGCGCCGCCUGGGAAGUACGGUCGCAAGACUGAAACUCAAAGGAAUUGACGGGG
rnacentral:rRNA from 1 species